AACGAACGCUGGCGGCGCGUCUUAAGCAUGCAAGUCGAACGGCAAGAGAGGAGCUUGCUUCUCUCCUAGAGUGGCGGACUGGUGAGGAACACGUGGGUAAUCUACCCUUAAGAUGGGGAUAGCUGCUAGAAAUAGCAGGUAAUACCGAAUACACUCGGCAUAUCACAAGAGGUGUUGAGGAAAGGAAGCUACGGCUUCGCUUGAGGAUGAGCUUGCGUCCCAUUAGCUAGUUGGUGAGGUAAAGGCCCACCAAGGCGACGAUGGGUAUCCGGCCUGAGAGGGUGAACGGACACAUUGGGACUGAGAUACGGCCCAAACUCCUACGGGAGGCAGCAGCUAAGAAUAUUCCGCAAUGGACGGAGGUCUGACGGAGCGACGCCGCGUGGAUGAAGAAGGCUGAAAAGUUGUAAAAUCCUUUUGUUGAUGAAGAAUAAGGGUGAGAGGGAAUGCUCAUCUGAUGACGGUAAUCGACGAAUAAGCCCCGGCUAAUUACGUG
rnacentral:rRNA from 1 species